ACCGCGGUUAUACGAGAGACCCAAGUUGACAGACACCGGCGUAAAGGGUGGUUAGAGACCCACACUACACUAAAGCCAAAUGUCUUCAGAAUUGUUAUAUAUCCACGAAGAUAAGAAGUUCAAUUACGAAAGUGGCUUUAUCAUUCUCGACCCCAGAAAGCUGUGAAACAA
rnacentral:rRNA from 1 species